rnacentral:rRNA from 1 species
CCUACGGGUGGCAGCAGUGGGGAAUAUUGCACAAUGGGGGAAACCCUGAUGCAGCGACGCCGCGUGAGUGAAGAAGUAAUUCGUUAUGUAAAGCUCUAUCAGCAGGGAAGAAAGUGACGGUACCUGAGUCAGAAGCCCCGGCUAACUACGUGCCAGCAGCCGCGGUAAUACGUAGGGGGAAAGCGUUAUCCGGAUUUACUGGGUGUAAAGGGAGCGUAGACGGCAGUGCAAGUCUGGAGUGAAAGGCGGGGGCUCAACCCCCGGACUGCACUGGAAACUGUACGGCUGGAGGGCAGGAGAGGGAAGUGGAAUUCCUGGUGUAGCAGUGAAAUGCGGAGAUAUGAGGAGGAACACCAGUGGCGAAGGCGGGUUACUGGACUGUAACUGACGUGGAGGCACGAAAGCGUGGGGAGCGAACAGGAUUAGAUACCCCUGUAGUC